GCCAGAGCAGAGGCCCUGUGGCUGGGAGAGAAGGACUCCCUUCUUCCACGCCGAGGACCGGCCCCGUGUCCCAGGAGGGAGCGGCGGUGCCCGCGGCCAGUGACCCAGGCACCGAGCCCGACGGAAGGGAGGUGUCUCUACCCUGACCUGGCAGACAUGGAAGCACGUUUCCUAGCCUAGUCUACACUGCUGUGAAUGUCUCCCAGCUUCCCCAGAUGUGUCUUCAAUAACCUUGGAUAUCCUCUUAAUUCACCAGCUACGUCUGCGCUGACGUGGGAUCUCUAAUACCCUAGAUAUUUCUACCCUGACCUGGACUGUUUUCUUCAUUCACCAAGUAUGUCUGCCCUAAACUUAAAUACUCCUGAAAAUUCCUAGGCAUGUUUUCUCUGAUACCCCCUUGUAUCCACACUAACACAAAUUCCUAAUUCCCAGAUGUUUCUACUAGGACUUGGGAUGUCACCCUCCUUCCCCAAGUAUGUCUGCUCUGACCUGGCACAUGUCACUAAUUCCUAAGGUGUUGGCUGUCUUGAACCUCAGUGUCUUCCUAAUUCCUGAGAUGCAUCUAGACUGACUUGGACCGUUUCACUAAUUCCUCAGGGGCUGAACACUCCCACCACGGCGCACAUGGUUCCCGUGUCUGCGCGUCCUCACCAACACUUCUCCCUUGUCGUCUUGGUGACAGCUGUUCCAGCAGGUGCCAGGUGCACCCACCUUAAUCUCAGCUGUCUAACUGCUGAGGUGUGGCUGUUUAUAGCUGGGAUAUCUAAUUAUGCAGACGAGUCUACACCGAACAAGGACGACUUUCUAAAUCCUCAGGGUAUGCCUAUCCUGACCUGGGGUGUGGUCCUCGUUUUCCAGGUGUAUCUACACUGACCUGUGAUGUCUAGUCCCCUGUCUAACCAGACCUGGACGUUUCCCCAGUUCCCCAGGCAUGUCCACGCUGAUCUGGCGGGACGUCCACCCUGACGUCUCCCUUGUCACUCUGGCUGUCUACCAGGGCGCCUCUUUACAUCACACAAGCCUAACGGGACGCGUAGUGAGUGCUUCCUCGGGUAGUUCAACUCUGACUUGGGGUGUCCCCCAAUUCUAACAUGAUGCUCUCGUUCCCCAGGGGGAGCUACCAUGAUCGAGGAUGUCACCUUGAUUCCUCAAGUAUUUCUGCAUGGACCCGGGAAGUGUCCCUAACCCCCCAGUUCUGUCUACCCUGAUCAGGGAGACAGGUUCAGGCCGUAAGCACUGAGGCCUCCCUAGUAAGUCAGGCGUGUGUGCACGUGCCUGGAGGGGCAUCUGUCCCGACCUGGGUUGUCACUCCAAUCCUCCAGGCUUGUGACGUCUCCGUGACCCAGGAUGGUGUCUGGCCUGAGCAAGGACUCCCUCCACACUCCAGUGUUGCUGGUCCUAGCAGGGAGGUGGACUCUGUUCCCCUGGGGUGUCUACCUUUACAAGUUAGUCUCCAGAAUUCCCCAGCUGUAUCUCACGGGAACUCCACAGAAGUGACUUUCUCUAUCGCAGAAUAUCUGCAGUUACAGUAAGUGUUUGUGCAGUAGUUAGCUCGUUCCCUCCCUUAGCAGUACCAGUCUUAUUCAGAGAGUAAAGAGUCUAAUACAGGUUUUGCUUGUAUAAACAACGCGCAAAAAAUUGAAUCCCAUCGUGAAAAGUGCAGGUUGGCUUAUAAAAAUAAAAACUGAAUUUAACCAACUAAAAAGAUCAAAUGAGUACACUGGCAUUUGAUGAAUUCAGGAGACAUGGUCAGGGUCUAUGCACGAGGGGGCAACAGAAAACGUCGCAGGUCAGAGCAAACACCUGGAGAACCCAUGUCCCAGAGCUGCUCUGACAUGCCUGUUACAGAGCCCUUCCAGGUCAGUGUGGACACAGUGGGAUAUUAGGCAGACAUACCAGGUUAUGGUGGGCACUUAAGCUAUUAAAGCACUGCCGGUCAGUGUAGACCCAAGUGCAGACAAAGGGAGGUAUCCCAGCAUGGUGUAGACACACCUCAGGACUAGGGAGACGUCCCAGGUCAGGAGAUCAACACCUGCGACAGGCAGACGUCCGGUCAGGACACACACACCUAGUGGAUACGACCUACCAAGUCAGGGCAGACGUGGCCGGGAUUUUAGGAGACGCCGCAGGUCAUGUAGACUCACCUGUGCAACCAGGCAGAUACCCAGGAUGAGGCAGCCAGCCCUGGGAAAUGGGGAACCUUCCACUAAGACAGACCGACCUGGGGAAUGAGGUGCACGUCUCGGGCAACACUAGACACGACACUCACAGCCAGAGAUGCUCCCGCUUAGUACAGACACACCUGGGGCAUGAGGGAGGCGUCCCUGGUUGUGGAGACACACACGGGCUUGGAGAAAACAUACAAGGUGAAGGUAGCCACAGCUGGGAGAGCUGAACACCUGCCAGGUGAGGGCAGCCAGGUAAUGGUAAACAUGGGUCACGAAACAUCCUCUGUUAGGUCAGUAUAGACGUACCUGAACUAUAAGCAGAUACACCGGGUCAGGUGAGACACAGUCGGGAGAGAGGGAGCUAUCACGGUUCACAGUAGAAACACCAGAGUUCUGAGAGACGUUCCAGGUUCUAAAACACACCUUGGAAACGUGGGAGACAUCCUAGGACAGGGCAGACAAACCUGGGGAAUAAGUGACACUUCCCUGGUCAGCAUAGGGACACAAGACGUAUCUGGUAGACGUAGCAAGCCAGUGUAGACACACCUCUCUCCCCACCCGCAGCUCUGGGGGCCCCUGCGGGUGUGGCCUGACCACAAGGCAGGAGGUG